GACGAUGAUGGAGAAUUAUGGAUGUGUUAACAAAUGGCGCAGUAUAUAAAACAGCAUAUAAAGUAACUCGUAUCUCACAGAUCAUUCCAGUCCAGAAUCGCUAGAAUAAAGCAUCGGAUCGUUACACGUGCGAAAUAUCGCGCGCUAAUCUCGUAUUGCUCGUUGCGAUCGCGGUGCUUUUCAGCACAACUACUCCGCAAUGUCUUGAGGAAUAUCCGGAAAAUCAAGAAUGGGUCACUUGUGGAACAGUACGUCCGCCGUCCUGUUAUACCCUGAGGGAACUUGCACCUCGGAAUGCGUAGGCGGUUGCCGAUGCAAGGAUGGAUGUGUUCAACAGGAACAAAAGAUGUGUUCGUUCCGGGAAAUGCUAAAAACCAAACGAGAUAUAUAUAGUAUGUACUCAAGUAAUGUUCGAAAUUCUGGGGUUGACUCGGAAAAAUUCGGACCGAAAGUUACGCUUGUACGAUGCGUAAAUAUAAAUUAGUUUAUUACUGUCAGACGAAAUCGACGUAUGAUUAUAAACUCGAUGACUUAUUCAUCAGAUGAGAGAAUUGAAAUUACCAAUACGUAUAUCCCUUCAUCUUAUUCUAUUAAUAUUCUGUGAGAUGUUCAUAUUUAAUGUUACUUGGUAAAAAAAAAAAAGUGGUUAAAAAUAAAGACUAACUAAAAUGACAUAUAUGUUA